UUGAAACCUGCAAUUUGGUUUCUUUGAUUUGUUUAGCAAAUUAUGCUUAUGCUAUUAUCAUUUUUAUUAACAAUUUUUUUUCUCUCACAAUGUUGCCUCCUAAGAGAUAUUGUAGGACCUAGAUUUCUAUCCUCCGAUACUCAUAUAAGGGUUAAGCUCUUUAUAGUCGGUGUCUAGUUCCACUCUUUCCUGUCCCCUUGGUUACGGGUACUACAAGCAUACAGCCUGCUUCUAAUUUUAUUU